UACGGAGGGUGCAAGCGUUAUCCGGAUUCACUGGGUUUAAAGGGUGCGUAGGCGGAUUGUUAAGUCAGGGGUGAAAUCCUGGAGCUCAACUCCAGAACUGCCUUUGAUACUGGCAAUCUCGAGUCCGGAAGAGGUGAGUGGAACUCCUAGUGUAGAGGUGGAAUUCGUAGAUAUUAGGAAGAACACCAGUGGCGAAGGCGGCUCACUGGUCCGGUACUGACGCUGAGGUGCGAAAGCGUGGGGAGCAAACAGG
rnacentral:rRNA from 1 species